UUGAUAUGAUGAGUUCAAUGCUACAGAAAUUUCAUGUUGAAUAUCUUUUGAGCUUUUUAACUCUGAUCAUU